AGGUUUUGGCAUACAAAAAUACAGUCAACGUUGUGAAAAAAAACAACAACAAAGAAAAACAUACCUAAAAGUGGAGUUUGUAGGAGAAAAGACAACUAGAUCUGUAUAGAUUAGAUCACGGUGGUCUCCAUAAAUAGACCGGUUGCCGAGAGUGGAUGAUGGAGGGACCACAGCCAAACAUCAGGACAGAAGUCUGCAUGAGUCAGUUUGUGUCUACAGCAGCUACUGUAUAUACACUCCCCAAAGGCUCUUUUAAGAGCCACAUCACGAGAGCGUCUUUGGCUUUUGGCACCUACAUACAACCCAAAGGCUCUUUU